UCCUACGGGGGGCAGCAGUGAGGAAUAUUGGUCAAUGGGAGAGAUCCUGAACCAGCCAAGUCGCGUGAGGGAAGACUGCCCUAUGGGUUGUAAACCUCUUUUGUCAGGGAGCAACGCCGGCUACGUGUAGCCGGACUGAGAGUACCUGAAGAAAAAGCAUCGGCUAACUCCGUGCCAGCAGCCGCGGUAAUACGGAGGAUGCGAGCGUUAUCCGGAUUUAUUGGGUUUAAAGGGUGCGUAGGCGGAAUGCCAAGUCAGCGGUAAAAUUGCGGGGCUCAACCCCGUCGAGCCGUUGAAACUGGCAG
rnacentral:rRNA from 1 species